CCGUCUUGAAACACGGACCAAGGAGUCUAACAUGUGCGCGAGUCAUUGGGUCUCACGAAACCUAAAGGCGCAAUGAAAGUGAAGGCAGCCUCGGGUUUGCCUAGGUAGGAUCCUUUCCUUUMCAUGGAGAGGCGCACUACCGGCCCGUCUCGUCCGCGUCGCGGUGAGGCGGAGCGAGAGCGUACACGUUGGGACCCGAAAG
rnacentral:rRNA from 1 species